UUAUACAGGGAGCAAGCUUUGCAAGAUCAGUUCGUAACACUCCACUCCACUAUGCAAAAAUUUGCAUGUGCUGGCACAGAGCCAACUUUUUUAGCUUCGUGCUCAAUCAGGGACAUCUACGGUCCGUCUCAGCUACAAACAGCUAAUGAAGAUACUGAGAACUAGAAUAGGUGAGCUAGAAUCGCUUCAUAGGUUUGCUUUGGAGUUUGCGGCGGGCCACCACGUUGAUCUCCGUCUGCCUCGUGCAGCAUUCUUGUUAAUAUGCUUGCCGUGCUUCUUCCAUGGCUCGCUUCCUCCAGCGAGGAGAUGCAGACGUGAGAUAGUUCCAGACGAGAAGCUCCUUCAGCAGGUAAGUUUUUGAAUUAAGAUGGCACUUUAAAAGAUGAAAGACUUCUGGAGUUGUAUGAAGAGCUGGGGUAAUGAACAUCAGGCCAAAACCACGGCAAAUCCAGAUCUACCCGUCGUCGAAGACACGGCGAACGCAGCACAGUUCCCAUCGUUCCCACCCAAACCACCGGAUCCGAUCUGAUCUCCCCGAUUGCUGCUCCACAGCCAUUUAAUCCUUUAGAUGAUCCUCCAGGUUCUAAGAGAUUGGAACUGAUUUCAGAGGUUAAGGAUGCACCUAAGGUAGCUAAAGCUCCACGGUUGAAGAACAAAAAGCUACUCCGGAAGUUUUCAUGUGAAGAAGUCUAUGACAGGAUGUCAAAGGGGUUGUGUGCGUUCUGUGAAGAGGUUGAUAUUCCUGGUCAUCAUCUGAAGCACAAAGGAGUAACGAUUCUAGUUACUGACAAGGAUGAUGAACCCAUUCUUGAAGACACUUUGGUUGAACCCUAUGAACCUGUUACCAACACUGCUAUGAAGCAUGAUUCGUUUUCCAAAUCGUUGGAGUGUUUCACUUCAGCUUUGCAGAUUGUUGAUGUUGCAGUUCAGAGAGAGCACCAAGACAAAAGCAAUGAACACGAAAAGAUGAGCUUAUGUCUUGGAGAAAAUAUCAAACACAUGAUAGGCAGCCAAUCUCAAAAGGCGAAACUCGUAUGGGAGCCAGGUGGGUUACCAACUUAAGUAGCUCAGUGGUACUGGACAGAGAAACGUCAAAGCUUGUGGUUUUCUGCAGCAAAGUCAGAUACGCGACCGACCGAUGAGACGACUUCAUAUUCAACAUAAGGAACUGCAUUUAGAGUUUCAAGACAUGCCGAGAUUGCUAGUUGGUGCAUCUGAGUUUGGCGCUAAGAUUCAUAAACCUCCUGCUCGAAACAAGAAGCUAUUAGGUGAUGAAAACUUGGGGAAGUUCAGAGGAGGAAAGAGCUUAUGGCUGAUGUGAGAUUCAACCUUGUUCAAUCCAAGGAAGGUUAAAUUCUGCUGGGAAGUAUGGUUAAAUGUAAGUUUAGAGAGACUUAUGAAGCUGAAGUUCACCGUGGAGGUUGGGAUUUUACUGUUGAUGUCUCAGCUGAGUGGGGCAACCAAAAUCAGAGAAAAUGGUAUGUUCGGUAACGGCAAAUUCACUAGAUGCAAGGCAUCUUGUAGAAGGACUAAGAAACAGCGUUCACUGUUCUGAUGCGGAGCGUGUACGGGAGCCUGGCGGGUUGUCAGCUAAAGCAUCUCAGUGGGAUUGGUCCCAGAAUUAUCGGACUUGUGUACAGACUUUGGUGAUGUUACUUAGCCUGGCAAAAUAAAUUCAAGAUUGGACAGUGAAUGAAAAGUCCAGCCUUAAGGUAUUUUCUUAUUUUAAUCUAGAGGCAAGGAUUCAGUUCGAAACCCCUGGCUCAUGAGUAUGAGAAGCAGUUGCUGCUGUUCGGAUAUCGUUACUUAGAAGUGCAAGUGGGAACAUCCUUACAAGAUUUUGAUCCAUCAAAUAUGGAUAUAGAUAUAGCAUUUUGUUGGAGAAUUUGGGAGUCAUUCUUGUGGUCUCUCUAUUGUGAGGCGAAUUUAACAAAUACUAGGCAAAAUGUUUUGACAAGGCCAGAAGAUAAGCAUUGCCGACAGUAUAAGUGUGAUUCAAGAGGGUCAGUUUAUGAUGGUAAUGUGCUAAUGUCAAUCUUUGCUGUGCUCGUGGGAGGCAAAUGGUAUAAUACGAAGUUGUUAGCUUCUGACCAGAAGGAGCACAAGAACCGUUACUUGUUCCCUGCUGGAUGUUCUUGCAAAACCAAGACCUUGCAGAUUUUAUGGUUAAUUUUGCAGAACAUUCAAAGCAGUGGCUCUGGCAGCAUGAGACACAUUCUGUUCUUGGUGAUUGAGAAAACUAGUGUGUGGUCUGUAUUGCAAGAUGUUGAGAUGUUCUUGAGCCCAAGACUGCUUCAUGACAAAGGAAAAUCAGUUUUUGCUGGUCCGAGAGCUGACCAAACCAUGCUGUUUAUUCUCGAGCAGGGAAUCAGUUUUUGUUUCUUCCAAGGAAGCUUACAUUCUGUUGGGAAGUGUUGUUAAAUGGAAGCAUAAAGAUAUUUCCAUAAUUGGAUCUCGCUAUGGAUCAAAUUAUGCAAAAUAGAGCUGCCUCGGUGGCGAUGUGAAGCAACUAAUACGUGGUGAAAUGGAGUAUUAUAUGAAGCACAAGUGGAAGUCUAAACUCUCAGAGACAGAUUCAGUCUUCAAGAUAAAUCACCAUUCUAACUUUGCAAAGUCGGUACUGGAACCAUCGUUGAUAGAUUUUAGUUUUGAUGAGAACGAAUUCUGCAUCGGCACACAUAGAGUUCCUAUUAAGAUGCCUAUUACGGUUAUGAGUCUACCCGUAGUUCUCCUAAAGCACAUAGUAAGCAACAAAUGCAAGGGAGACAACCUAGUGAAGGCAGCUCAACACGUUUUGGUUGCACAGGUUUCCCUUUUGGUGAAAAAUGAAUUACAAGAUACAAAGCUGCUUGCAGCUAGUGAUACAUUCCACAAGAGGUACAAGGAGGAAUUAUGGCUGUUUAUGAAGCUCACUCUCAGUGCACCACGUGCAGGCCAAUUGAUGCAAUCAGAACUGGUUCAUGGCGAAGAAAAGAAUGUGCUAAAGGACGUCGCAGCAGGAGUUUGCUAUGGAUCAUAUUCUGGUCUCGAUUCUGGAAUGUGCUAAAAGAAUGUGCCAGUUUUCUUUGUGUCGGGAGGAGAUAAAAAGGAUGUUAGGGUUUAAGAUUCAUGAUAAUCUAUUAGGGUUCAAAAUCUUAGUACAAUAUUUUAGAUAAAUUCAUUGAUUUUACUGGUAUGAAAUCUGGCAUAUUUGCUUAUUUACCAAGUUAAUUAUUUUUUUAACAAGCGUAUUUGAGAAAAAGUGUACGGGAAAAGGUUAAAAGCUUUAUUUUGUAAAUGAAACUAUGUAAAUAAGUAAUCACUAUUAUGGAAAAAAUUGUAGGAUAAUUAUUAUUUCUGAAAAACAAAAUUUCAAUAAAAUUGUGUUUUUUUUUUUAAUAUAUAGGUCGAACUUGUGAAAGUCACACUCGACCUUGGAUCGACCCAGGCUAAAGAAAGGGCAGGUUUCGUUGCCGGAUUGGAAAAAGAGCCUACAUUUAAAAAAUAUUUUGAGAUGUGCAGUGAAAACUAUGCCACAAUAGUGAAUAACUUUAGAGGUGCUCGAUUAUGUAUGGAGGAUGGUGCCCCGGGUGCCGCGGGUUCAAGCAUUACAAUCCUUGAAACUUACGACGAUACACAACGUGUGAAGGAUACAAUCGGCAAGAACACAGACAAGGCCUCGAAAAAGCUCAUGGAGAUGACAUUAGUUAUAGAGGAUUUCGUGGCUAUAGCUAAUGCAGCCAUCAGCGUAAUAUUUUAAUUAUUAAACUUUUCAUGUGCUCAAAUCCUAAAGAUAA